GAAGAAAUUGAACUCAAAAGGGUAACAGGGUCAUACUGUUCAUUAGGGCCAAAACAUUCUCUCUUCACCUUUUAAAGGUUAGGGUUUUAGAUCUGUCUCUUAUAGCGCACACACCUGAGAGAGGUAAAAGCGGCUUCGAUUUCAAGGGCGAAGAUGUUUCCCGGAAUGUUCAUGAGGAAGCCGGAUAAGGCGGAGGCGUUGAAGCAGCCCAAGACCCACGCUCCAAUGUUCGAAAUUUGGGUUGACGUCAUUUGGGUCACACCUUACGUUCUCCAUUAUUUCUCCGAUAGUAAAGAAGAACUCAAGCUCGAACUCUAAUUUCCUUCACAGGUAAAAAAUUUAUAUGUUAACUAAACGGUGUUAUGGUUCAGCGGAACAUUUGCUUGCUCUAAUGGAAGGAAUGGAAGCUUCAAUGGAACAUUUGCUUGCUCUAAUAGAUGACGUUUACAAAUAUGUAGAUGGUGUGGUGGUGAGACAAAUGAUUUUUUGCUCUUAAAUUAUGAGUUUGCUGCCCUCUGCUAAUUUGUUGACUAAAUGUUUUCCCUCCAGGAAGGGCGUAUUGCUCCCGAUAAUGACAUCAGCCGAUUUAUAUCAGAUACUGUAGCAUCUAUUCCGAAAUUAUCACCACACGAAUUUGAUAAACUAGUGAAUGAUAGUCUGCAUGUAUAUAUAUUUCUUUCCCUUGCCCUCA
rnacentral:lncRNA from 1 species